CCUACGGGGGGCAGCAGUGAGGACUAUUGGUCAAUGGCCGGAAGGCUGAACCAGCCAUGCCGCGUGAAGGUCAGUGCCCUAUGGGCGUUAAACUUCUUUUGUGCGGGAGCAAUAAUGGUCACGUGUGGCCAGACGAGAGUACCGUACGACUAAGCACCGGCUAACUCCGUGCCAGCAGCCGCGGUAAUACGGGGGAUGCAAGCGUUAUCCGGAUUUAGUGGGUUUAAAGGGUGCGUAAGCUGUGAGGUAAGUCAGCGGUGAAAAGCCCGGCGCAACGGGGUGAAGUGCCAUUGAUACUGCCUUGCUGGAAUGCGGAUGCCGUGGGAGGAAUGUGUGGUGUAGCGGUGAAAUGCAUAGAUAUCACACAGAACACCGAUUGCGAAGGCAUCUCACGAAUCCGCGAUUGACGCUGAUGCACGAAAGCGUGGGUAUCAAACAGGAUUAGAUACCCUAGUAGUC
rnacentral:rRNA from 1 species